GAUGAACGCUGGCGGCGUGCCUAAUACAUGCAAGUCGAGCGAACAGACGAGGAGCUUGCUCCUCUGACGUUAGCGGCGGACGGGUGAGUAACACGUGGAUAACCUACCUAUAAGACUGGGAUAACUUCGGGAAACCGGAGCUAAUACCGGAUAAUAUAUUGAACCGCAUGGUUCAAUAGUGAAAGACGGUUUUGCUGUCACUUAUAGAUGGAUCCGCGCCGCAUUAGCUAGUUGGUAAGGUAACGGCUUACCAAGGCAACGAUGCGUAGCCGACCUGAGAGGGUGAUCGGCCACACUGGAACUGAGACACGGUCCAGACUCCUACGGGAGGCAGCAGUAGGGAAUCUUCCGCAAUGAGCGAAAGCCUGACGGAGCAACGCCGCGUGGGUGAUGAAGGUCUUCGGAUCGUAAAACUCUGUUAUUAGGGAAGAACAAAUGUGUAAGUAACUAUGCACGUCUUGACGGUACCUAAUCAGAAAGCCACGGCUAACUACGUG
rnacentral:rRNA from 1 species